rnacentral:rRNA from 1 species
GACGAACGCUGGCGGCGUGCCUAAUACAUGCAAGUCGAGCGCAGGAAAUCAUCCGAACCUUUCGGGGGGACGUUGAUGGAAUGAGCGGCGGACGGGUGAGUAACACUUAAAGAACCUGCCCUCAGGUCUGGGAUAACCACGAGAAAUCGGGGCUAAUACCGGAUGGGUCAUCGGACCGCAUGGUCCGAGGAUGAAAGGCGCUUCGGCGUCGCCUGGGGAUGGCUUUGCGGUGCAUUAGCUAGUUGGUGGGGAAAUGGCCCACCAAGGCGACGAUGCAUAGCCGACCUGAGAGGGUGAUCGGCCACACUGAGACUGAGACACGGCCCAGACUCCUACGGGAGGCAGCAGUAGGGAAUCUUCCACAAUGGACGAAAGUCUGAUGGAGCAACGCCGCGUGAACGAUGAAGGCCUUCGGGUCGUAAAGUUCUGUUGUAAGGGAAGAACAAGUGCCGCAGGCAAUGGCGGCACCUUGACGGUACCUUGCGAGAAAGCCACGGCUAACUACGUGCCAGCAGCCGCCGUAA